UACGUAGGGAGCAAGCGUUGCCCGGAAUCAUUGGGCGUAAAGCGCGCGUAGGCGGCCCUGUAAGUCCGUUGUGAAAGUCAAAGGCUCAACCUUUGAAAGCCGAUGGAUACUGCAGGGCUAGAGUCCGGAAGAGGCGAGUGGAAUUCCUGGUGUAGCGGUGGAAUGCGCAGAUAUCAGGAAGAACACCGAUGGCGAAGGCAGCUCUCUGGGACGGUACUGACGCUGAGACGCGAAAGCGUGGGGAGCAAACAGG
rnacentral:rRNA from 1 species